AACAUUUGGAAACAGAUGCUAAUACCGCAUAAAUCCAAGAACCGCAUGGUUCUUGGCUGAAAGAUGGCGUAAGCUAUCGCUUUUGGAUGGACCCGCGGCGUAUUAGCUAGUUGGUGAGGUAACGGCUCACCAAGGCAAUGAUACGUAGCCGAACUGAGAGGUUGAUCGGCCACAUUGGGACUGAGACACGGCCCAAACUCCUACGGGAGGCAGCAGUAGGGAAUCUUCCACAAUGGACGCAAGUCUGAUGGAGCAACGCCGCGUGAGUGAAGAAGGCUUUCGGGUCGUAAAACUCUGUUGUUGGAGAAGAAUGGUCGGCAGAGUAACUGUUGUCGGGCGUGACGGUAUCCAACCAGAAAGCCACGGCUAACUACGUGCCAGCAGCCGCGGUAAUACGUAGGUGGCAAGCGUUAUCCGGAUUUAUUGGGCGUAAAGCGAGCGCAGGCGGUUUUUUAAGUCUGAUGUGAAAGCCCUCGGCUUAACCGAGGAAGUGCAUCGGAAACUGGGAAACUUGAGUGCAGAAGAGGACAGUGGAACUCCAUGUGUAGCGGUGAAAUGCGUAGAUAUAUGGAAGAACACCAGUGGCGAAGGCGGCUGUCUGGUCUGUAACUGACGCUGAGGCUCGAAAGCAUGGGUAGCGAACAGGAUUAGAUACCCUGGUAGUCCAUGCCGUAAACGAUGAAUGCUAGGUGUUGGAGGGUUUCCGCCCUUCAGUGCCGCAGCUAACGCAUUAAGCAUUCCGCCUGGGGAGUACGACCGCAAGGUUGAAACUCAAAGGAAUUGACGGGGGCCCGCACAAGCGGUGGAGCAUGUGGUUUAAUUCGAAGCAACGCGAAGAACCUUACCAGGUCUUGACAUCUUUUGAUCACCUGAGAGAUCAGGUUUCCCCUUCGGGGGCAAAAUGACAGGUGGUGCAUGGUUGUCGUCAGCUCGUGUCGUGAGAUGUUGGGUUAAGUCCCGCAACGAGCGCAACCCUUAUGACUAGUUGCCAGCAUUUAGUUGGGCACUCUAGUAAGACUGCCGGUGACAAACCGGAGGAAGGUGGGGAUGACGUCAAAUCAUCAUGCCCCUUAUGACCUGGGCUACACACGUGCUACAAUGGAUGGUACAACGAGUUGCGAGACCGCGAGGUCAAGCUAAUCUCUUAAAGCCAUUCUCAGUUCGGACUGUAGGCUGCAACUCGCCUACACGAAGUCGGAAUCGCUAGUAAUCGCGGAUCAGCACGCCGCGGUGAAUACGUUCCCGGGCCUUGUACACACCGCCCGUCACACCAUGAGAGUUUGUAACACCCGAAGCCGGUGGCGUAACCCUUUUAGGGAGCGAGCCGUCUAAGG
rnacentral:rRNA from 1 species